rnacentral:rRNA from 1 species
GCUCAGAUUGAACGCUGGCGGCAGGCCUAACACAUGCAAGUCGGACGGUAGCACAGAGAGCUUGCUCUCGGGUGACGAGUGGCGGACGGGUGAGUAAUGUCUGGGGAUCUGCCCGAUAGAGGGGGAUAACCACUGGAAACGGUGGCUAAUACCGCAUAACGUCGCAAGACCAAAGAGGGGGACCUUCGGGCCUCUCACUAUCGGAUGAACCCAGAUGGGAUUAGCUAGUAGGCGGGGUAAUGGCCCACCUAGGCGACGAUCCCUAGCUGGUCUGAGAGGAUGACCAGCCACACUGGAACUGAGACACGGUCCAGACUCCUACGGGAGGCAGCAGUGGGGAAUAUUGCACAAUGGGCGCAAGCCUGAUGCAGCCAUGCCGCGUGUAUGAAGAAGGCCUUCGGGUUGUAAAGUACUUUCAGCGGGGAGGAAGGCGACGGGGUUAAUAACCGCGUCGAUUGACGUUACCCGCAGAAGAAGCACCGGCUAACUCCGUGCCAGCA